AAUGUGUACCCCUAAGGGACUCAUGUGUAAAUAAAUUUCUAUAGGCGGUCCUCCUUAGGAACAGCUGAUGAAAAUCAAUUUCUAGAGAUGGCUCUACGCCUGUAUAUGGAAAUGUCUUUAUUUGUGCAUGUGCUUGGUUAGAGGCAAGCGGCUAAACCAUCUCUUGCAAUCGAUGCUAACCUUCUAGAAAAAAAUGUUGUCCGUGCAGUAGUGAAUUCGGCCAAGUAGAUGAAAAUGGGAUUCCAUGGUUGUCCAUUAAAGCAGUGGUACAUACACAGAGCAAGUGCUGCAGCAGUAAACAGUGCAGUAUUGUCAACCCCUAUGAACUCGACCCUUGAAGAAAACCAGUGGCCUUGUCCUUGCUCUUGUGCACGUCAAAUAAAUCCUUAAAAGUGAAGAAUAAAUUGUUUAAUAAUUCAGAGGGGCCUAAUACUGAGUUCAAGAGUUGAAGGGUAGGGUUUAUUUUAAAAGAAAAAAACAAGCAUGACAGUGAUAGAUCACGAAUCAGAAAGAGGAACUGAGGUGGAAUUCCUCCUCGUCGCUGCCAGAUGGAAUCAGGCAAUCGUCAAGGAAGGCGAAGGGAGGAAUCCAAUUUCCUCAUGAUGCCGCGUCUUGUGGUGAAUUGCGGGAAUGGCUUGAGGACGAGGUGUGGCAGUGAGGUUGCGGUAUCCAGAUCUUGAUGCAGGAGGAGGGCGGCGCACACGGAGAACACCGUCGGCACGGAGAACUAAUGUGCCCCUCUCUCUCUCUCUCUUCUCGUUCACAUUUAUACGUGAGCUGUUUUAGCGCCCUCAAGAAGGGUAUAAAAAUGUGAUAGUUUUUAAUUUA